CAUGAUCUAUCUGCUGCGGGCAAAUGAAAUGAAUAUGUGUAUCGAUGCCACCGGCUGUGGCAAUGAGGCCUGCGCCGCCAUGCACUUCGGUAGCUGCGCCAAUGAUCAUAUUGGCAUCCACCCCAUCCAUAGUGUCGGGAUUGCCGGCUUUACCAAUGCCAACGAUCUUCCCGUCUUUAAUGCCAAUGUCGGCUUUUACAAUGCCCCAGUGGUCAAUGAUCAUUACGUUGGUGAUCACCAGGUCCAGCACACCUUCAUUACGCGUUGCCCGGGCCGAUUGGGCCAUGCCAUCGCGAAUG
rnacentral:sRNA from 1 species